rnacentral:rRNA from 1 species
GAUGAACGCUGGCGGCGUGCCUAAUACAUGCAAGUCGAGCGAACGGACGAUAAGCUUGCUUCUCUGAUGUUAGCGGCGGACGGGUGAGUAACACGUGGAUAACCUCCCUAUAAUACUGGGAUAAUUUCGGGAAACCGGAGCUAAUACCGGACAAUAUUUUGAACCGCAUGGUUCAAACGUGAAAGACGGUCUUGCUGUCACUUAUAGAUGGAUCCGCGCUUCAUUAGCUAGUUGGUAAGGUAACGGCUUACCAAGGCAACGAUGCAUACCCGACCGGAGAGAGUGAUCGGCCACACUGGAGCGGAAACGCGGACCAGACUCCUACGGGAGGCAGCAGUAGGGAAUCUUCCGCAAUGGGCGAAAACCUGACGGAACAACGCCACGUGAGUGAUGGAGGUCUUCGGAUCGUAAAACUCUGUUAUUAGGGAAGAACAUAUGUGUAAGUAACUGUGCACAUCUUGACGGUACCUGAUCAGAAAGCCACGGCUAACUACGUG